GUGGGGAAUAUUGGACAAUGGGCGCAAGCCUGAUCCAGCCAUGCCGCGUGAGUGAUGAAGGCCUUAGGGUUGUAAAGCUCUUUCACCGAUGAAGAUAAUGACGGUAGUCGGAGAAGAAGCCCCGGCUAACUUCGUGCCAGCAGCCGCGGUAAUACGAAGGGGGCUAGCGUUGUUCGGAUUUACUGGGCGUAAAGCGCACGUAGGCGGUUUGUUAAGUCAGGGGUGAAAUCCCGGAGCUCAACUCCGGAACUGCCUUUGAUACUGGCAAGCUAGAGUCCGGAAGAGGUAAGUGGAACUCCUAGUGUAGAGGUGGAAUUCGUAGAUAUUAGGAAGAACACCAGUGGCGAAGGCGGCUUACUGGUCCGGAACUGACGCUGAGGUGCGAAAGCGUGGGGAGCAAACAGGAUUAGAAACCCGGGUAGUCC
rnacentral:rRNA from 1 species